GGGAGGUAUAAAUUGGUCUCACAACUAGACCUUUGUGUAUAAACCUGCACUUUAUCCAAAACAUUUCUAACUCACCGUGUUAUUGUUGAUAGCAGGAUUUGUGGCUGAAUUCAAACACCUGUCUUAAACUGACUUCAUCAUGCUAAUUUUAUCAGUCAUUCUUUUGUUUUGUUUUUGUUUUUAAUUGUAGCACAAUGUCUAUCUACCAUAGUUAGCUAAAAAAGUCCGAUUUUAGUAUAUAUACUUAUAGGUUCUGCAGUUAAAAAAAAAGAAUUUUUGCCAUCC